CGCUCUCAAUCCAGCUACGCUACAGCGACCACACGCAUCCGAACACCAGUGAAGAAGAAGAAGAAAAGAAGAAGAAGAGUCCGACGGUAAGGCGUCUGACCGAAUAAAAGCAAAGAUAGAGAGAGAGAGAAAAAAACACCCUUUUGCCUGCAUCUGAUCGAAUAAUAAGAAAACCCUCUAUCUAUAUUUAUAUAUCUGUUGAUGGACUGAAAAGGGGUGUCGAUUUUGAGGAAGAGAAGAGGAGAAAAGAUGGCUAUUGCGGAGGAGAAAUCCGCGUCUGAAGGAAUGGUUUGGAGACUGUGCCGGAUGCCGUUCUGGAACACGGGAAAUGCUUCUUCUUCUAAUUCUUCAUCGCAGCAUAAUCAGAAUCAGAUUGAGGGAUCGAAUCCGCAUCCGACGUCCGUUUCUUCGGUGGCGAGAUCGUUCCUCCCGACUCGGCGUCGAUUGCGUCUUGAUCCGUCCUCUAAGCUCUAUUUUCCAUAUGAACCAGGUAAACAGGUUAGAAGCGCGAUCAGGAUUAAGAAUGUUAGCAGAUCUUUUGUUGCAUUCAAGUUUCAAACAACUGCACCGAAGAGCUGUUUUAUGCGUCCUCCCGGAGGUAUACUUACUCCUGGAGAAAGUCUCAUUGCAACGGUGUUCAAAUUUGUGGAGCAUCCGGAGAACAAUGAGAAACAAUCAGAUCAAAAGAGCAAAGUUAAGUUCAAGAUCAUGAGUCUGAAGGUAAAAGGAAUGAUGGAAUACGUACCCGAGCUGUUUGAUGAGCAAAGAGAUCAGGUAGCAGUUGAGCAGAUUCUGCGUGUCGUUUUCUUAGAUGCUGAACGUCCUUGCCCUGCAAUGGAGAAGCUGAAAAGGCAGUUAGCUGAGGCUGAGGCUGCACUCGAGGCACGCAAGAAACCUCCUGAAGACAAUGGUCGACAAAUUGUUGGUGAAGGUCUCGUCAUAGACGAAUGGAAAGAACGAAGGGAGAGAUAUCUAGCCCGGCAGCAGGUUGAAGGGGUUGUUGAUUCCGUGUAAAACCGGUGGCUUGCGAUCGUUGUUUGUAGGAGAUUGGUUCAAAGGCUUGUCUACGAAACAAUAACACGUUUCGAUGCCGGAAGGGCGGCUUUGACUGAUUAUAUAGGGAAGAAGGGCAGAGCCGCCGCAUACUUAAGAUUGCGUCCGAAUGUCAGUGUCUAGAUGCCAACACGGCAGCAUGGCUGCGACGAAAUUCACUAGUCUGGUCCACCCAUUUCUUUUAAUGUCUUGCUAUUUACUAUUGGAAAAUCACAAAUUGGAUCAUUCGGUUCAAAUGGUUUGUAGCUUGAUUGAUUCACAACUCUGUUUCAUACAGAAUUUGUAUGAGAAUUUCAGUUGAGUAACAGUGUAGGGUUUCAUGCUUGUUAAUGGUGUACCCAUGUUUUAGAACCUGUACUGCACCGGUCGGUCGGUCGGUCUGGUUUGGUCUGUAGUUUUAAAUACUCGAAAACUCAACUUGAUUGGAAACCUAGCUGGGUUGGUUCGACUCGGAGACUCAAUUCGACUUGACUUAGUAACCAAUGAUUCAGCUACAAAUAGUGUAUAAGGGAAUUUUACAAAAAAAAAAAAAAAACUACCUGAUUAAUAUGGGAUUUAUAUGCUGUGAAAGCGACCUCAUUAAUCGAUAUAAUUAUCAUUCUGUUACCGUCCAUUACAUUUCUUUAAUGGCGCAUUGGGUGGGUGUCAAGCAAAUGGGUCGCGGUUGUUUGGGUGGGCCCCACUGUGAUGUUAAUGUAACAUCUACCCUGCCUGUCGAGAUUUCUAAAAUCAACCCCCAUUUCAUUUGUGAUUGUGGGGACCACAUUUUGGGAAACAGCAUACAGGGCAACAAUCACCCUCAAAACUAUUUCCCUUGUAUGGCCCACCAGAAUAAUGGAUGGCUCUAAUGUUUUUAGACAGCAUAUCUAAAUUUUGUGUGGCGAUUUAAUGGUUGGAGUGGAUUUUAUAUAUAAUCAUCAUGGUGGGUCAUGUACAACUCAAGGUGGACAUGUCUCUCAACUGUUUUCUUUGGUAGGCCCAGCACUGGUCCUAAAUUGGGAUUAUGCAUCUAAUGGUGGGAGUAGAUUUCACUUACACAUCAAGGUGGGCCCUGCCAAAAAUCAAGUAGGGUCUCUCCAACCAUACUGAGAGAUUCUUUUAAAAAAUAUGGAAUAGUAUGAGACACCACUCUUGAUUUUGACAGGUGAUGUUUAUGUAAAUCCACUCUGACCUUUAGCCCUAGAAACAAAAAAUUAGGCUGACUUGUGAUCUGGUGGGCCAUACCAAAGGAAACAGUUGUGAGAGAGACGUCCACCUUGGAUUUUAUAUAAUGAGCUCACUGAUUGAGAUAUCCCAACCAUCCAAUUUAUUGCUAUCAAAUGGAUGAUGGAAAAGUAAAAUCAUGGGUGGGGCCACAUUUGAAGGACAAAAUCAGAUGGUCCAUAUUAGCUUUGCAGUGUAAAUUUUGAGGUUUUGUCCUCCAUCCACAGCUACGGUAGUGAUUUGGAUGGCCAAGAUUGCCCUACCAUGUCAUGUGUGCAGUGGAAGAGUCCAAUCACAUCUUUUAAUGGUGCUGGAUAUUUGGACAAAAAGCACCAUUUUUUCAUGCAUCCACUAAGGCAAUGGUACAAAGUUGUGUAUUAGCAAGAGUAUGAAAAGGUCUAUUGCAGUGCAAUUGCCAAAGUGGGUGUUCUGUUGCCUGAAAAAUGUUGUAUGAUCAUAAGGUGGGCCACACGUUUAUGUUCAAAUGUAACUGUUCGUCGAUUCUUUCUAAGCAUUUAUUCCUUCUCGGAUUGUGCUGAAGCAUGCUAUACAUGCGAAUAUCCAUU